rnacentral:rRNA from 1 species
AUGAUACAUCAAGGGGUUGAUCCUGAUGUGGUGACGUACAACUCGAUCAUUGAUGGAUUGUGCAAGGCCAGAGCAAUGGACAAGGCAGAGCUAGUCCUUCGGCAGAUGGUCGAUAAAGGUGUUCAACCCAAUACAGUGACAUAUAAUUGCAUGAUUCAUGGAUAUUCCACAUCAGGGCGGUUGAAAGAGGCUGUUAAAAUGUUGACAGAAAUGACAAGCCGUGGUCUUAUACCAGAUAUUGUUACUUACAAUUCGUUGAUGACUUCCCUUUGCAAGCAUGGAAGAAGCAAAGAAGCGGCAGAAAUAUUUUAUUCCAUGACUGCCAAGGGCCACAAACCGAAUGCUGCCUCGUACCGUAUUUUGCUUAAUGGGUAUGCCACUGAGGGAUGCUUUGCUGAUAUGAUUGAUCUCUUCAACUCAAUGAAAAGCAAUGGUUUUGUAGCUGACUGCCAUGUUUUCACCAUAUUAAUUGAUGCAUAUGCUAAACGUGGAAUGAUGGAUGAAGCUAUGCUCAUAUUUACUGAAAUGCGGGAAAAAGGAGUGAGUCCCGAUGUAUUCACCUAUUACACUGUAAUAGCCGCACUUUGCAGAUUGGGUAGGCUGGCCGAUGCUAUGGACAGGUUCAAUGAGAUGACUGAUAUGGGUGUUCAGCCGAACACAGUUGUUUAUCACUCCCUAAUUCAGGGUUUUUGUAUGCUUGGUGAUUUGGUUAAAGCUAAGGAGUUGGUGUCUGAAAUGAUGAACAAAGGUAUUCCUCGUCCUGACAUUGCAUUCUUCAGUUCAAUAAUAAACAGUCUAUGCAAAGAAGGAAGAGUUAUGGAUGCACAAGAUAUCUUUGAAUUGGUUAUAAGCAUAGAUGAGAGACCUGACGUCAUUACAUUUAACUCACUGAUUGAUGGAUAUGGCUUAAUUGGCCAGAUGGAUAAAGCAUUUGGAGUGCUUGAUGCCAUGGUAUCAGCUGGCAUUGAGCCUAAUGUUGUUACGUAUAGUUCACUUCUUGAUGGCUAUUGUAGAAAUGGAAGGAUCGAUGAUGCUUUGAUUCUAUUCAGAGAAAUGCCGCGCAAGAGAAUUAAACCUAACACUGUUACAUAUGGCAUCAUACUGGAUGGGUUGUUCCGUGCUGGGAGAACUGUUGCUGCAAGGAAAAUGUUCGAUGAGAUGAUCGAAGGGGGUAUACCAGUGAGCAUUUCCAUAUACAAUAUAAUACUUGGAGGUCUUUAUAGAAAUAAUUGUGCAGACGAAGCAAUCACACUAUUCCAGAAAUUAGGAGCAAUGAAUGUCAAGUUCUAUAUUAUAACACUCAAUACCAUGAUUAAUGCAAUGUUCAAGGUUCGGAGAAGAGAAGAAGCUAACGAUUUGUUUGCUGCAAUAUCAGCCAGUGGGUUGGUGCCUAAUGCUUCUACUUACGGCAUAAUGAUAGAAAAUAUUCUAAAAGAAGGAUCAGUGGAAGAAGUUGACAAUAUGUUUUCAUCAAUGGAGAAGAGUGAUUGUGCUCCCAGCUCUCGUCUUAUAAAUUAUAUCAUCAGAAUGUUGUUGGAAAAAGGUGAGAUUGCCAGGGCCGGGAAUUAUUUAUCUAAAGUUGAUGGGAAGAUCAUCUCACUUGAAGCUUCAACUACUUCUUUGUUGUUGUCUCUCUUUUCAAGGGAAGGGAAAUAUCGGGAAAACAUUGAAUUGCUUCCUGCAAAGUAUCAAUUUUUCAAUGGAUUUGGU